AAAACUGACCGUUUCCAGUCCUGUGGCCACGCUGUUUAUUUUAUAUUUACUUUAGACUAUGGAAAGGAUGUUAGAUGAGAAGCAAAUUUGUGUGAUUGUCUUAUUUGAUUUCAAAAUGAGGCGUAAAGCAGCAGAGACAACUCGCUACAUCAACAGCCCAUCUGGCCCAGGAACUGCUAAUGCACGUCCAGUGCAGUGGUGUUUCAAGAAGCUUUGCAAAGGAGAUGAGAGCCUUGAAGAUGAGUACCGUAGUGGCUGGCCAUUGGAAGUUACAGUGACCAACUGAGAAGAUCAUCGAAGCUGAUCCUCUUACCACUGCAGAUGUGACUGAAGAACUCAGCGUUGACCAUUCCACGGUCAUUCCGCAUUUGAAGCGAAGUGGAAAGGCAACACACCAUUUCUCGACUGGAUUGUAACAUGUGAUGAAAAGUGGAUUUAUAUGACAACCAGCAACGACCAGCUCAGUGGGUGGACUGAGAAGAAGCUCCAAAGCACUUCUCAAAGCCAAACUUACACCAAAAAAGAGUCAUGGUCAAAUUAAAAAAAAAAAAAAAAGGUCACGGUCACUGUUUGGUGGUCUGCUGCCCG